CCUCUCAUUUCUUCUUUACAUUCCAUUCUUCUCACACUGUCGAGUAUCGUUCUCCAUUUUUCUCACACUGUCGAGCAUCGUACGUUCUCCGUUCUCCGUCUCCAUCGCUCUCUGUCUGAGUGUCUCCAUCGUUCUCCGUCUGAGCUGUUUCUUCCUCCGUGGUAGAGGCAUCCUCUAUCGUUCUCCUCCUCCAUCGUUCUUGUCACACUCCUCCGUGAUAGAGGUUUUUUCUCGUUCUCUUCCCCUCUCCCUGUCACUUUUAUUGCUCAUUUCUUAUGUUGCUCAUUCCAUUACCACACUGAUUUUUGCUAUUUUGAAUGAGUUUUAUAGUAUUUUUUUGAUAUAAUCCAACAUGGUUUUUGAUCUUCCCCCUAGUUGUUAUUUUCAUCGAUUCGUUCUCUUGCUCAUUUCAUUACCUCACUGAUUUAUGUUAUUUUUAAUGAUUUUUAUAGUUUUUUUUUUAUAUAAUAAAACAUGGUUUUUGAUCUUCCCCCUUGUUGUUUUUAUGUUGUUCUAUUGUUUUUAUUUGUUGUGAUUUGUUGAUGUUAUUUUAUUAUUAUUUAUGUUAUGUUGUGGUAUUUUGAAUCGUUCUCUUGGUCAUUUCAUUACCUCACUUAUCAUCCCGCUUUAUAUUUUAUCGACGAUCUUCUGUUUGUAAUAAUAAAUCAGUGAUGUUGUUGUUCGUUUAUACGUUCAUAUUGCCUCCUUUAGUACUUUUGAUUUUCUGUCGACACUAACAGUUGGCAUUAACAAAUUUAUGAUGAUUACAGAAAAAUAUGGGUCGUGGAAGUAGAGAUAGAGGUCGUGGUGGUAGAGGCAGAGGCUGAGCAUAAGGUCGUGGCCAUUCUGAGCCAUAAACUAAAAAGGUCGUGGCCAUUCAGGAACAUUGGUUAAAACUAUUUUAAGAAUAAUGAUUUCAAACAUUUCAGAAACAUUGGUCUCAAGCUUUUUAAGAACAUUGAUUGAGGUCAUUUGAAAAACUACGGUAUCAACCAAUUCAGAAACAACGGUUUCAACAUUUCAAGACUAUUGGUUGAAACCAUUUUAAAAACAUUGGUUGAAACCAUUUUAGAAACAACGAUUUUAAAUAAUUCAGAAACAAUAGUUUCAACCAAUUCAUAAACGUUGGUUGGAAC
rnacentral:lncRNA from 1 species